UAAUGUUUAAUGUAAUUGUUUUAAAGCAUUUUCUGGAUGAGGUGGCUACGCUCGCUCAAAGAUCAGGAUGAGGAACUUGAAUGGCAUUGUGAGUCUGAUGGACGUAAGGAAGGAGAAAUCUGAUACAACUUUCAGAACAAUGAGGUGCUUGUGAUUGGACCUAAACCAAGGGAUUCUACAUAUCCAAAGAUCUUUCAGUCGCCAACAGUUGCAGCUACAACAACUUCUGUAUUCACCUUCAAAUUGCGCAUAUAAGCAUCGCCUUUUAAACUUACUAUAUAUGAUGAAAGUAGCGAUCUCAUGGUUACGAACUGAUUACUAUUGAACAAAUGCAGUUAUGUUAGGGAAAAAUGAUCAUGUGCAUCACCGGUAUAUGUAAUGCAGUUAUGAGAGGGAAAAAAUGAUCAUGUGCAUCACUGGUAUUGAUUACGAUGAUAAAACCAAGAAUAUAUCUACACAUGAACAUUCAUGAAAUAAAGAAACUUGACAAGAUGCUUAGUGGUCCAUGGAUGUGAAUCUCUUUGAGAAUUUUGGAGAUUAUAUGUGUUAAGCAUCUUCAUGAACAGCUUGAGGUAUGCCAUUUUUUAUUAUUUUUACAACCCUUUAUGGUAACAAGUAAAUCUAGGUUUUGUUUGAAACGGGCUAAUUUCUGUAUGGGUUGUAAUGGGUCAGGUUGACUAACGAUCCUUUUUUUUUUAUUUUCUUCACCUUUUAUCAUAAAGUACUAAAUAUUAUCUUUGUAUUAAAUAUAAUACUUUGAGACAUUAUUAACUUUAAGAAUUCUGGUGUAGGACCUAUGAGUUGGUUGUCUUCAAUGCAACCAUGGCCUUUGUUCAUGCCCGAUACCUAUAUGUUACUUGGAUGGCUUCCCUAAUGGGUAACUUGAGCCACAUCUCAACUAUAUCUUAAUAUAAUAUACCUACACAUGUGCUUUAAGUUGAAAGCUAAUCACCUAAAAUAUAUGUGUGCAAACUAACAUCUUGCAUUUGCAAUUAUGUAUAUUAUCAUUCCGAUUAUGGAAGUUGCAAUUUGUAAGUACUUGAUUUCAGUAAUAAGCUAACUCAUAGUCACCAGCUUGAGGCAAAGGAAGACAUGACCUUAAUAGUUAUUCAGGUGGUUUGUGAUUUUGAUGAAGUGGAUAAUUUUCUUAAGGAUAAAAAGCAUUAAAGGUUCAUUUACUUUGUCUCCUGAACUUUUCGGUGAAAAUCAACUUGCAAGAGUAAGUUCACUUUUUUAUUUCUUGGUUUUUAGUUAUAUAGUUGAUUACUAUAUUAUGGGGUUGGGAACAAAAAACUAUAUUUCACACGAAGUUUUAACACUAUUUUUACUGAUAAUUAACAUCGAAUAUCUUACUGUCAAAUUGUAUGUGCCUCGGUACUUCAACGAGUAUGAAGCUAUCAACGGUUAUGGUCCUGCCCACCCUUCUUCAUGGAUUGGCGGUCUCUUCUAUAAUGUAAUGCCAUAACGGGUCAAGCGAACCAUAAAGUUUGGUAACAAAGGAAUGCGUAAAAUGAAUCGAACUGGUCAAUCGGGUUGAAAGCCAAUCACCAAAGUCUAAUUUUUAUUGAAUUGUUAUUUUUCAUAGUUAUGUUUAAAACAUCGUUAGUUGAAAGUGUUUGGUAGUAGUUACUUAAUACCUGCAGAAACAAAAUGUUGGGUUUUUUUUUUGUUUAAAACUGUAUGUUUAUUCUUUUAUAUAUAAAAAAAAUUUAUGGCAUAAGA